rnacentral:rRNA from 1 species
GACGAACGCUGGCGGCGUGCUUAACACAUGCAAGUCGAACGGAAAGGCCCUGCUUUUGUGGGGUGCUCGAGUGGCGAACGGGUGAGUAACACGUGAGUAACCUGCCCUUGACUUUGGGAUAACUUCAGGAAACUGGGGCUAAUACCGGAUAGGAGCUCCUGCUGCACGGUGGGGGUUGGAAAGUUUCGGCGGUUGGGGAUGGACGCGCGGCUUAUCAGCUUGUUGGUGGGGUAGUAGCUUACCAAUGAUUUGACGGGUAGCCGGCCUCAGAGGGUGAACAGGCACGUUGAAAACGACAAGCGGACCAGACUCCUGACGGAGGCAGAGGUCGAGAAUAAUCCACAAUAGACGCACGCCUGAUAGAGCAACGCCCCAUGCGAGAUGAGGGCCUAGGGGUAGUAAACCGCUUUCGCCUGUAACGAGACGUGACUGAAGGUAAUGGGUAAAUAAGCAACGGCUAACUACGUG